AUGGUAAAUGAAGGUCUGGAUGGUCUGUCCUUGUCGCUGCUGGUACCAGGACAAGUAGUGCUUCCCGUCUGUGUAGAGGAGGCUCUGACUGGCUCUGCAGGUUCCACUGGGGACAUUGUGCUGACCCAGUCUCCAGCUUCUCUGUCUGUGUCUCUUGGAGAAAAAGCCACCAUCUCUUGCAAGUCCAGUGAGAGUGUCAAUAAAUUUGGCAUAAAUCUUAUGCACUGGUAUCAAAAGAAGCCAGGACAGCCUCUCAAACUCCUGAUCUACAAUGAAUUCCAACUAGAAUCUGGGGUCCCUGGCAGGUUCAGUGGUGAUGAGGAUGCAUCAGGCUUCACCCUUACCAUCCACCCUGUGGAAGCUGAUGAUAUUGCAACCUAUUAUUGUCAUCAAGGACUAGAUCGUCCUCCCACAGCCCUCUAUGUCUAA